rnacentral:rRNA from 1 species
CCACGGGAGGCUCCAGUGGGGAAUAUUGCACAAUGGGCGCAAGCCUGAUGCAGCCAUGCCGCGUGUAUGAAGAAGGCCUUCGGGUUGUAAAGUACUUUCAGCGGGGAGGAAGGGAGUAAAGUUAAUACCUUUGCUCAUUGACGUUACCCGCAGAAGAAGCACCGGCUAACUCCGUGCCAGCAGCCGCGGUAAUACGGAGGGUGCAAGCGUUAAUCGGAAUUACUGGGCGUAAAGCGCACGCAGGCGGUUUGUUAAGUCAGAUGUGAAAUCCCCGGGCUCAACCUGGGAACUGCAUCUGAUACUGGCGAGCGUGAGUCUCGUAGAGGGGGGUAGAAUUCCAGGUGUAGCGGUGAAAUGCGUAGAGAUCUGGAGGAAUACCGGUGGCGAAGGCGGCCCCCUGGACGAAGACUGACGCUCAGGUGCGAAAGCGCGGGGAGCAAACAGGAUUAGAUACCCCAGUAGUC